rnacentral:rRNA from 1 species
GACGAGGGAUCCUAGCGUUGUUCGGAAUCAUUGGGCGUAAAGCGGAUGUAGGUGGCUUUGUAAGUCAGAUGUGAAAGCCCCGGGCUCAACCCGGGAAGUGCAUUUGAUACUGCGAAGCUUGAGUGCUAGAGAGGUUACUAGAAUAUCUGGUGUAGUGGUGAAAUACGUAGAUAUCAGGUGGAAUACCGGAGGCGAAGGCGGGUAACCAGCUAGACACUGACACUCAGAUCCGAAAGUGUGGGGAUCAAACAGG